rnacentral:rRNA from 1 species
GCUUAGAAGUAAACCAAGGCAGCAACCCCAUCACCCUGCCCGCCAGAGUACUACAAGCGAAAAGCUUAAAACUCAAAGGACUUGACGGCAUUCCACACCACACUAGAGGAGCCUGUCCUAUAAUCGAUAACCCACGUUCAACCUCACCUGUUCUCGCACUAGCCAGCCUAUAUACCGCCGUCCCCAGCCCGCCUUGCAAAAGAACCCCCAGCGAGCAAAUCAGUCCAGCACUAACACGUCAGGUCAAGGUGUAGCUAACGCACAGGCAGAGAUGGGCUACAUUUUCUCAAACAAAAGAAAAACAACCACCCGCACCAUGAAACAAGUGCUCAAAGGAGGAUUUAGCAGUAAGCCACGCAAGCCUGCGUUACUGAACCACGCCCUGGAAUGUGU